rnacentral:rRNA from 1 species
AAUCUGCCUGGUAGUGGGGGAUAACGUUCGGAAACGGACGCUAAUACCGCAUACUGUCCUACGGGAGAAAGCAGGGGACCUUCGGGCCUUGCGCUAUCAGAUGAGCCUAGGUCGGAUUAGCUAGUUGGUGAGGUAAUGGCUCACCAAGGCGACGAUCCGUAACUGGUCUGAGAGGAUGAUCAGUCACACUGGAACUGAGACACGGUCCAGACUCCUACGGGAGGCAGCNGUGGGGAAUAUUGGACAAUGGGCGAAAGCCUGAUCCAGCCAUGCCGCGUGUGUGAAGAAGGUCUUCGGAUUGUAAAGCA